UCCUGAGAGGGAGCGCGGCCCCGGAUUCGACCCUGGCGGCGCGGGCGGGAGAACGCGCCGUCAGGAGGUGGCGCGGACAGCCCGGACGCGGCGCGAGGUCCUGAGGCGGCCGGCCAAGCGCGGGCUCUGGGUGGGAAGGGGUCCCGCUCUGGGGUCUAGGACUUGCGGGUCCGGAGAAGGGUGGCCGGUGAUCGCGUCCGGGCUGCGGUUAGGCCGGUUUCGUGGCGAACUGUGCCGGGGUCUGGGUGGGCACGGGCCGCUCGCGGAGUCGCGGUGACCCAGAACCUCCAGGCAGAGUGGGGCUUUGAUUCUAAGUGUCGCUGGAACAGCAGAGGUCCUGGUAGCUGGGGCUCCUGAGAACCAGUCCGCGGAGAGUGAGCCUCACGCCGGGGCUUCGAAAGCCGGAUGACUCACCCCCUCCAUUCCUGCGGGUCUGAACUCACCUUCUGGCGGCCAAGCUGAGGGGCUGGGGUCCCCCAUGCAGAGCCGAUUGGAAGCAGCUGCCUGACCCCUGCCUUUGACGGCCUCCCUAAGCACAUUGGAGCAUUUUUCUACUUGGUAGAUGGGAUGCUGUCCGAUUCAUGAAAUGGUUAAUAAAGCCAAUUAGAUACUCAAA